rnacentral:rRNA from 1 species
UGCAAGUCGNACGCUUCUUUUUCCACCGGAGCUUGCUCCACCGGAAAAAGAGGAGUGGCGAACGGGUGAGUAACACGUGGGUAACCUGCCCAUCAGAAGGGGAUAACACUUGGAAACAGGUGCUAAUACCGUAUAACAAUCRAAACCGCAUGGUUUUGAUUUGAAAGGCGCUUUCGGGUGUCGCUGAUGGAUGGACCCGCGGUGCAUUAGCUAGUUGGUGAGGUAACGGCUCACCAAGGCCACGAUGCAUAGCCGACCUGAGAGGGUGAUCGGCCACAUUGGGACUGAGACACGGCCCAAACUCCUACGGGAGGCAGCAGUAGGGAAUCUUCGGCAAUGGACGAAAGUCUGACCGAGCAACGCCGCGUGAGUGAAGAAGGUUUUCGGAUCGUAAAACUCUGUUGUUAGAGAAGAACAAGGAUGAGAGUAACUGUUCAUCCCUUGACGGUAUCUAACCAGAAAGCCACGGCUAACUACGUGCCAGCAGCCGCGGUAAUACGUAGGUGGCAAGCGUUGUCCGGAUUUAUUGGGCGUAAAGCGAGCGCAGGCGGUUUCUUAAGUCUGAUGUGAAAGCCCCCGGCUCAACCGGGGAGGGUCAUUGGAAACUGGGAGACUUGAGUGCAGAAGAGGAGAGUGGAAUUCCAUGUGUAGCGGUGAAAUGCGUAGAUAUAUGGAGGAACACCAGUGGCGAAGGCGGCUCUCUGGUCUGUAACUGACGCU